rnacentral:rRNA from 1 species
CAGUAGCCACGGUAAUGCGUAGGGUGCGAGCGUUAAUCGGAAUUACUGGGCGUAAAGCGUGCGCAGGCGGUUAUAUAAGACAGAUGUGAAAUCCCCGGGCUCAACCUGGGACCUGCAUUUGUGACUGUAUAGCUAGAGUACGGUAGAGGGGGAUGGAAUUCCGCGUGUAGCAGUGAAAUGCGUAGAUAUGCGGAGGAACACCGAUGGCGAAGGCAAUCCCCUGGACCUGUACUGACGCUCAUGCACGAAAGCGUGGGGAGCAAACAGGAUUAGAUACCCGGGUAGUCCCUGUCUCUUAUAC